CGGGGUAUGGCGCAGUCCGGCUAGCGUACCUGCUUUGGGAGCAGGGGGUCGUAGGUUCGAAUCCUACUACCCCGA
rnacentral:tRNA from 1 species